UAUUGCACAAUGGAGGAAACUCUGAUGCAGUGACGCCGCGUGCAGGAAGAAGGUUUUCGGAUUGUAAACUGCUUUAGACAGGGAAGAAACAAGACAGUACCUGUAGAAUAAGCUCCGGCUAACUACGUGCCAGCAGCCGCGGUAAUACGUAGGGAGCAAGCGUUAUCCGGAUUUAUUGGGUGUAAAGGGUGCGUAGACGGGAAUUUAAGUUAGUUGUGAAAUCCCUCGGCUUAACUGAGGAACUGCAACUAAAACUGAAUUUCUUGAGUGCGGGAGAGGAAAGUGGAAUUCCUAGUGUAGCGGUGAAAUGCGUAGAUAUUAGGAGGAACACCAGUGGCGAAGGCGGCCUGCUGGGCUUUAACUGACGCUGAGGCUCGAAAGCGUGGGUAGCAAACAGG
rnacentral:rRNA from 1 species